rnacentral:rRNA from 1 species
CCUACGGGAGGCAGCAGUGGGGAAUAUUGGACAAUGGGCGAAAGCCUGAUCCAGCCAUGCCGCGUGUGUGAAGAAGGCCUUCGGGUUGUAAAGCACUUUCAGUGGGGAAGAAAGCCUUGGGGCUAAUACCCUCGAGGAAGGACAUCACCCACAGAAGAAGCACCGGCUAACUCCGUGCCAGCAGCCGCGGUAAUACGGAGGGUGCGAGCGUUAAUCGGAAUUACUGGGCGUAAAGCGCGCGUAGGCGGUCUGAUAAGCCGGUUGUGAAAGCCCCGGGCUCAACCUGGGAACGGCAUCCGGAACUGUCAGGCUAGAGUGCAGGAGAGGAAGGUAGAAUUCCCGGUGUAGCGGUGAAAUGCGUAGAGAUCGGGAGGAAUACCAGUGGCGAAGGCGGUCUUCUGGACUGACACUGACGCUGAGGUGCGAAAGCGUGGGUAGCAAACAGGAUUAGAUACCCUGGUAGUC